rnacentral:rRNA from 1 species
CCACAAGCGGUGGAUCAUGUUGUUUAAUUCGAUGAUACGCGAGGAACCUUACCAGGUCUUGACAUCCCCCGCGAUGCUUUAGAGAUAAAGCGGAGGUAUUCGGGGAGACAGGUGGUGCAUGGUUGUCGUCAGCUCGUGUCGUGAGAUGUUGGGUUAAGUCCCGCAACGAGCGCAACCCCUAUUGCUAGUUACCAUCAUUAAGUUGGGGACUCUAGCGAGACUGCCAGUGAUAAACUGGAGGAAGGUGGGGAUGACGUCAAAUCAUCAUGCCCCUUAUGACCUGGGCUACAAACGUGAUACAAUGGCUGGAACAAAGGGAUGCGAAGCAGUGAUGUGGAGCGAAACCCAUAAAAACAGUCUCAGUUCGGAUUGAAGUCUGCAACUCGACUUCAUGAAGUCGGAAUCGCUAGUAAUCGCGGAUCAGAACGCCGCGGUGAAUACGUUCUCGGGGUUU